rnacentral:rRNA from 1 species
UAGUCAUAUGCUUGUCUCAAAGAUUAAGCCAUGCAUGUGUAAGUAUAAACUCGAGAAUAGUGAAACUGCGAAUGGCUCAUUAAAUCAGUUAUAGUUUAUUUGAAGGUGCAGUACUACAUGGAUAACCGUGGUAAUUCUAGAGCUAAUACAUGCAGCAGAACCCGACUGAUUAACACGAGGAAGGGUUGUAUUUAUUAGAUAAAAAACCAACGUGGCCUGGCAUUUCACACAAUGUCCGGCCAGAUGGAUGGUGAUUUAUGGUAACUUGUGGAAUCGC